UGAGGAAUAUUGGUCAAUGGGCGAGAGCCUGAUCCAGCCAAGUAGCGUGCAGGAUGACGGCCCUAUGGGUUGUAAACUGCUUUUAUGUGGGGAUAAAGUGCGUGACGUGUCAUGCAUUGCAGGUACCACAUGAAUAAGGACCGGCUAAUUCCGUGCCAGCAGCCGCGGUAAUACGGAAGGUCCGGGCGUUAUCCGGAUUUAUUGGGUUUAAAGGGAGCGUAGGCUGUCUAUUAAGCGUGUUGUGAAAUAUACCGGCUCAACCGGUGGCUUGCAGCGCGAACUGGUCGACUUGAGUAUGCAGGAAGUAGGCGGAAUUCAUGGUGUAGCGGUGAAAUGCUUAGAUAUCAUGACGAACUCCGAUUGCGCAGGCAGCUUACUGUAGCAUAACUGACGCUGAUGCUCGAAAGUGCGGGUAUCAAACAGG
rnacentral:rRNA from 1 species